ACAAUAUUAAACUAUACAAAUUACAAACCUUUCUCUUGAAUCACUCGAUCUAUUGAUGAAACCCGCAUUAAAAUC